GAUGAACGCUGGCGGCGUGCCUAACACAUGCAAGUCGAACGGAGAUUACGGACGGAAGUUUUCGGAUGAAAGACUGUAAUUCUUAGUGGCGGACGGGUGAGUAACGCGUGGGCAACCUGCCCUAUACAGGGGGAUAGCAGCUGGAAACGGCUGGUAAGACCGCAUAAGUCGGCGAGACCGCAUGGUUUUGCCGGGAAAUGAGCAAUCAGGUAUAGGAUGGGCCCGCGUCCGAUGAGCCAGUUGGCAGGGUAAAAGCCUACCAAAGCAACGAUCGGUAGCCGGACUGAGAGGUCGGACGGCCACACUGGGACUGAGACACGGCCCAAACUCCUACGGGAGGCAGCAGUGGGGGAUAUUGCACAAUGGAGGAAACUCUGAUGCAGCGACGCCGCGUGAGUGAAGAAGUAUUUCGGUAUGUAAAGCUCUAUCAGCAGGGAAGAUGAUGACGGUACCUGAAGAAGAAGCCCCGGCUAACUACGUG
rnacentral:rRNA from 1 species